ensembl:lncRNA
CGUCCUCAUCUUGGCAGGUGCUUGGGCCGCUGAGAUUCCGGAGGCCGCGCUGGGUCUGCCUGGCAGGUGUCCAGUCAGCCAGAGAUGUAAUCACUUUUGCACCCCAGGCAGUGCGCUAGACCACGAUCCUGUGCUACGGAGGCGCAUGAUGAUGUGGAGUUGAAGAGGCGGCAGCCAGGAGGCUUGAUGAAGUGUGGGGCGGGGAUUUGGAAGUGAUGGGGCCACCUGCUGGGCAGUCUGGAGAUUGCAGGGAAUCUCUUCCAAGUGAGACCAGGACAGGGACCCUGCCUCGAGGGACGCAGAGUUUUUAGACAGUUCUUUUUAUUGUCAAGGGUGAGAGACUGGCAGGAGACAACAACAUUAACUGACCUCGGGUCAGAUUUUAACCUCAGUCUUGAUGAUUACAAAACCUGCAUUUUUCUUAUUACAGUAGGACGCUUCCCAGGAUCACUGGGACUAAAUGUGGUUCUUUAACUGUACCAUUUUGGGCAUCUUCCACGGGUCAGUUUCCUGGUCUGUGAAAUGGGUGUAUUCGUACUUCACAUCGUUGUAGAGAUGUAUAAAGUGCUUAGCCAAAUGUCUGCCAAAUGGUGGGGGCUCCCAAAGUGAUAGCUGUGUUGUCAUUUGUUUCUACAACUCUUUUGUACGUACCUUUAGUAUAUUACUGUUGGCAUGAUCUUAGAUGUUUCUUGUAUAAUUGUGUCCCCUUCUACCCUGAAAGCCCUGAGGUAAGCGACCUUGUCCCAUUGUUAAAGGGAAUGUAGGUUGACUUAGGUAUAACAAUGGAAAGAUUAAACCUUGGAAUUUGUCAAACCCAAGUUGAAAUACAAACAAUUCCUUUUAUGUGCUUUUUUUUCCCCCAAAUGUGCAAGUUGUUUGCUUUUGCAACCCUCAGUCUUGUCCAUUUGGAUAAAGCUUUGAAACAGGAGCUAGGCAUUCCAGUGUGAGUUAAGUCCAGUUGUACUUACAAGGCCACUUCAUUUACACACAACGUAAGUAUUACUUUUGGAAGGGUUAUGAGUCUUAUCUUGGCAGCCUGCCAAAUAUGCUAAUUAACUUGUUGGCACAAAUGGAGCCAGAAAGACCGAAAACAUUAGAUUCAAUGCUCUUUAUUCCAACAAAACUAUUUCCUAGAAUGAACUCAGGUAAUAGGUCUUUUCCCAUAUAGGAAUCUUGUGUAAAAACAGCAUAUUAUCACAUAAAUGCCAUAAUUACUAUAACAUCUUCAAGGUGGAUUAUUUUCUUUAGUAAAUAUUAGUAAUCUUUGUGCAACAACAUACUGAAGAAGACUUUAAAGUACCAGAUAUAAAUGCCCAUCAAUGGAAGACUGGAUAAAGAAAAUGUGGUACAUAUACACCAUGGAAUACUAUGCAGCCAUAAAAAAAGAAUGAGAUCAUGUCCUUUGCAGGAAAAUGGAGCGGAGGCCAUUAUCCUCAGCAAACUGACACAGGAAAACCAGUACCACCUGUUCUCACUUGUAAGUGGGAGCUAAAUGAUGAGAACACCUGAACACGAAGGGAACAACAGACACUGGGGCCUACCUGAGAGUGGAGGGUGGGAGGAGGGAGAGGAUCAGAAAAAAUACUGUAGGGUACUAGGCGUAGUACCCGGAUGAUGAAACAGUCUGUGCAACAAACCCCCGUGACACAAGUUUACCUAUUUAACAAACAUGUACAUGUACCCCUGAACCUAAAAUAAAAGUAUUUUAAAAAUAGAGCACCAGGUAUAUGCUAACAAUCUCCUUUUCUUCUCAAUAAACCUUU